AGGGAAUGCGUGUCAUGUGCCCGGAGGCGCAACAUAAUCACAGUCUGCCCGAGAGUCACCGGCCGCCGCCGGCGCAGUCAUCCAACCUAUUGACUCAUUACCACUGCCAGUUGUCCAACAACGAUACAUAUAAGGUAAAUCAACUGCACAAUACAAACUGCGCAACAAUAAAGAGACGAUAAAAGGUAAUCUCGCCCGGACAGUUCCCAUCUAAUCGCCGCAGACACAGACGUUUUGAUAUAUUUAAAAAUCACUUCAAUCAACCCGCGGCCCUGCUCGCUGUUGAUAGCAAAUUUUUAUCACAUGCUCCUAGCGAAUUUCCAACAGCUCUCAGUUUUCAACUGAACGCUCGCAUGAACAUAAAUUUUUCGACACCGUAUUGCUAAAUCGAGAGACACAUGGUAGAGUUUCUGCCAUAUACACCUCUAUGCCGAUUCAAAGAGGGCAUGUUUUAAGUACUUUUUCUCUGAAUAAAUAUGUAUUUCAAAGUUCGUCCAAGUACAGAACUUAUGAAGGAGCGGUGUUGUAACUCACGAGGAAAUAACAAAGACAGAAAUAGCAUUCCGUAUCUUAUUUGCGGUAAACGACUCAGUAUCUUAUUCUCUACAAUAUUAAUAUAUAUUUGGACACAACAAACGCUUCCCAGUUUUUGGACUGUUUUAUAUUUUGACUGAUAAUGUUGUUAUAACGAUCAUCUCCUUCAAACGAUAUAUUUUUUUCCUGUUAUCAUAUAUUGCAAGCGACGUUUAAUCAUUAAGUAGUGUCAUUAUUAC